GACGAACGCUGGCGGCGUGCCUAAUACAUGCAAGUAGAACGCUGAAGGAGGAGCUUGCUUCUCUGGAUGAGUUGCGAACGGGUGAGUAACGCGUAGGUAACCUGCCUGUUAGCGGGGGAUAACUAUUGGAAACGAUAGCUAAUACCGCAUAAUAUUAGUUGUUGCAUGACAUUUGCUUAAAAGAUGCAAUUGCAUCACUACCAGAUGGACCUGCGUUGUAUUAGCUAGUUGGUGGGGUAACGGCUCACCAAGGCGACGACACAUAGUCGACCUGAGAGGGGUGUCGGCCACCCUGGGACUGAGACCCGGCCCAGACUCCUGCGGGGAGCCGCAGUAGGGGAUUUUUGGCAAUUGACGGAAGUCUGAACGGGCAACGCCGCGUGAGUGGAGGAGGUUUUCGGAUCGUAAAGCUCUGUUGUAAGGGGAGAACGAAUGUGGGAGUGGAAAGUUCACGCUGUGACGGUAUCUAACCAGAAAGGGACGGCUAACUACGUG
rnacentral:rRNA from 1 species